rnacentral:rRNA from 1 species
AUUGAACGCUGGCGGCGUGCCUAAUACAUGCAAGUCGAGCGCAGGAAAUCGACGGAACCCUUCGGAGGGAAGUCGACGGAAUGAGCGGCGGACGGGUGAGUAACACGUAAAGAACCUGCCCUCAGGUCUGGGAUAACCACGAGAAAUCGGGGCUAAUACCGGAUGGGUCAUCGGACCGCAUGGUCCGAGGAUGAAAGGCGCUUCGGCGUCGCCUGAGGAUGGAGUUGCGGUGCAUUAGCUAGUUGGUGGGGUAAUGGCCCACCAAGGCGACGAUGCAUAGCCGACGUGAGAGGGUGAUCGGCCACACUGGGACUGAGACACGGCCCAGACUCCUACGGGAGGCAGCAGUAGGGAAUCUUCCACAAUGGACGAAAGUCUGAUGGAGCAACGCCGCGUGAACGAUGAAGGCCUUCGGGUCGUAAAGUUCUGUUGUAAGGGAAGAACAAGUGCCGCAGGCAAUGGCGGCACCUUGACGGUACCUUGCGAGAAAGCCACGGCUAACUACGUGCCAGCCGCCGCGGUAA